GGAUGCGAUCAUACCAGCACUAAAGCAUCGGAUCCCAUCAGAACUCCAAAGUUAAGCGUGCUUGGCGAGAGUAGUACUAGGAUGGGUGACCUCCUGGGAAGUCCUCGUGUUGCAUUCC
rnacentral:rRNA from 1 species